rnacentral:rRNA from 1 species
GAUGAACGCUGGCGGCGUGCCUAAUACAUGCAAGUCGAGCGAACGGACGAGAAGCUUGCUUCUCUGAUGUUAGCGGCGGACGGGUGAGUAACACGUGGAUAACCUACCUAUAAGACUGGGAUAACUUCGGGAAACCGGAGCUAAUACCGGAUAAUAUUUUGAACCGCAUGGUUCAAAAGUGAAAGACGGUCUUGCUGUCACUUAUAGAUGGAUCCGCGCUGCAUUAGCUAGUUGGUAAGGUAACGGCUUACCAAGGCAACGAUGCAUAGCCGACCUGAGAGGGUGAUCGGCCACACUGGAACUGAGACACGGUCCAGACUCCUACGGGAGGCAGCAGUAGGGAAUCUUCCGCAAUGGGCGAAAGCCUGACGGAGCAACGCCGCGUGAGUGAUGAAGGUCUUCGGAUCGUAAAACUCUGUUAUUAGGGAAGAACAUAUGUGUAAGUAACUGUGCACAUCUUGACGGUACCUAAUCAGAAAGCCACGGCUAACUACGUGCCAGCAGCCGCGGUAAUACGUAGGUGGCAAGCGUUAUCCGGAAUUAUUGGGCGUAAAGCGCGCGUAGGCGGUUUUUUAAGUCUGAUGUGAAAGCCCACGGCUCAACCGUGGAGGGUCAUUGGAAACUGGAAAACUUGAGUGCAGAAGAGGAAAGUGGAAUUCCAUGUGUAGCGGUGAAAUGCGCAGAGAUAUGGAGGAACACCAGCGGCGAAGGCGACUUUCUGGUCUGUAACUGACGCUGAUGUGCGAAAGCGUGGGGAUCAAACAGGAUUAGAUACCCUGGUAGUCCACGCCGUAAACGAUGAGUGCUAAGUGUUAGGGGGUUUCCGCCCCUUAGUGCUGCAGCUAACGCAUUAAGCACUCCGCCUGGGGAGUACGACCGCAAGGUUGAAACUCAAAGGAAUUGACGGGGACCCGCACAAGCGGUGGAGCAUGUGGUUUAAUUCGAAGCAACGCGAAGAACCUUACCAAAUCUUGACAUCCUUUGACAACUCUAGAGAUAGAGCCUUCCCCUUCGGGGGGGCAAAGUGACAGGUGGUGCAUGGUUGUCGUCAGCUCGUGUCGUGAGAUGUUGGGUUAAGUCCCGCAACGAGCGCAACCCUUAAGCUUAGUUGCCAUCAUUAAGUUGGGCACUCUAAGUUGACUGCCGGUGACAAACCGGAGGAAGGUGGGGAUGACGUCAAAUCAUCAUGCCCCUUAUGAUUUGGGCUACACACGUGCUACAAUGGACAAUACAAAGGGCAGCGAAACCGCGAGGUCAAGCAAAUCCCAUAAAGUUGUUCUCAGUUCGGAUUGUAGUCUGCAACUCGACUACAUGAAGCUGGAAUCGCUAGUAAUCGUAGAUCAGCAUGCUACGGUGAAUACGUUCCCGGGUCU